rnacentral:pre_miRNA from 1 species
UCUAGAACUCGAGAUAUGGGUUGAAAACUGAACAGUGUCUGGGCUGCAGGACAGAUUCGGACUUCUUCGUUGUUGCUAUAAUUUGGACUUGAAAACGGCCUUGUUAAAUCUUGGACUCCUCAUGAAAGUUGUAGGCCUAUGUCUUACCUUUCCAUC